rnacentral:rRNA from 1 species
CCCUUAGAUGUCCUGGGCCGCACGCGCGCUACACUGAACGGAUCAGCGCGUUUUCCCUUCCCGAGAGGGACGGGUAACCUGCUGAACCCCGUUCGUGAUAGGGAUCGGGGCUUGCAAUUAUUCCCCGUGAACCAGGAAUGCCCAGUAAGUGCAAGUCAUAAGCUUGCGUUGAUUACGUCCCUGCCCUUUGUACACACCGCCCGUCGCUACUACCGAUUGAACGUUUUAGUGAGGUACUCGGACUGAGCCUCAGAAGAUUCACGUCUUUUGUGCUGCUCGGGAAGAUUCCCAAACUUGAGCGUUUAGAGGAAGUAAAAGUCGUAACA